rnacentral:rRNA from 1 species
AGAAUCUGCCUUCUGGUCGGGGACAACCACGGGAAACGGUGGCUAAUACCGGAUGAGCCUGCGGGUAAAAGAGAAAUUGCCAGAAGAAGAGCUCGCGUCUGAUUAGCUAGUUGGUGAGGUAAGAGCUCACCAAGGCAGCGAUCAGUAGCUGGUCUGAGAGGAUGACCAGCCACACUGGGACUGAGACACGGCCCAGACUCCUACGGGAGGCAGCAGUGGGGAAUUUUCCGCAAUGGGCGAAAGCCUGACGGAGCAAUACCGCGUGAGGGAAGAAGGCUCUUGGGUCGUAAACCUCUUUUAUCAGGGAAGAAAAAAAUGACGGUCCCUGAAGAAUCAGCCUCGGCUAACUCCGUGCCAGCAGCCGCGGUAAUACGGAGGAGGCAAGCGUUAUCCGGAAUUAUUGGGCGUAAAGCGUCCGCAGGUGGCUUAUCAAGUCUGCUGUCAAAGAGUGGGGCUUAACCCCAUAAAGGCAGUGGAAACUGAAAAGCUAGAGUGCCGUAGGGGUAGAGGGAAUUCCCGGUGUAGCGGUGAAAUGC